GAGCAAUUUUCAAUUUUGUUAAAUCUCCAAAAGAUAAAGUAAGCUUUGUAAAGAGGAAAAUAUAUAAUUUGGCUUUGUAUGGCUAUCCAAUACACAUGGUAAUUAGGUUAAGGAAUUAAUUAAUAAUAAGUUGCUGCAGGCCAUUGAUUUAUACAGUUUGGCACAUUGCUUUUUCAGGUAUUCUUGUAGUAGUAAAUAAUCUAAUUAUGUAAGAAAUUUUGCAUAAAAAAUAAUAUGUAUGAAAUUUAUGGCUUUAAAAGUACAUAGAAAUUAUAAUUGAAUCUACCAUUACCCAGCAUGAAAUUGCAACAGAAAGCUGCACAAAAACACACACGUACG
rnacentral:misc_RNA from 1 species